GACGAACGCUGGCGGCAUGCCUAAUACAUGCAAGUCGAGCGAACAGAUGAAGUGCUUGCACUUCUGACGUUAGCGGCGAACGGGUGAGUAACACGUAAGGAAUCUACCUAUAAGCGGGGGAUAACAUUCGGAAACGGGUGCUAAUACCGCAUAAUAUCUUCUUCCGCAUGGAAGAAGAUUGAAAGACGGCUCUGCUGUCACUUAUAGAUGACCUUGCGGUGCAUUAGUUAGUUGGUGGGGUAACGGCCUACCAAGACGAUGAUGCAUAGCCGACAUGAGAGGGUGAUCGGCCACAUUGGGACUGAGACACGGCCCAAACUCCUACGGGGGGCAGCAGUAGGGAAUCUUCCGCAAUGGGCGAAAGCCUGACGGAGCAAUGCCGCGUGAGUGAAGAAGGCCUUCGGGUCGUAAAACUCUGUUAUAAGAGAAGAACAAAUUGUAGAGUAACUGCUACAGUCUUGACGGUAUCUUAUCAGAAAGCCACGGCUAACUACGUGCCAGCAGCCGCCGUAA
rnacentral:rRNA from 1 species